GCGAAUGGAAGGAGGGUGCCUUUGGCCCCGCACGGGCUCCGGUCUGUGCGGCCGAGGGUUGCCCUCUGACAACUCCGACCCAUGUGAACUAUGCGGGUGCGUGGAGGCUUUGGCCUCCCCUCCCCGCCCAACACAAACUCUCGAACUCUUUGGAUGUGUCGGUCUCACGGGACCGCUUUGGGAAACCAAAA
rnacentral:misc_RNA from 1 species